GGGGGUAUAGCUCAGAGGUAGAGCGCUCGCUCGCUUUGCAUGCGAGAAGCCCCGGGUUCGAUCCCCGGUACCUCCA
rnacentral:tRNA from 1 species